GUACGGGUACAAUUGGAUCUAACAUUCAUGCAAAGGUUUUGAUAAUAUAAAAGGCUCGAGGUGAAUAAGAAUUUGUGAAGGUGAAGGUCGUCGUCAUCGUUGUUGGCUAACGUUAGCAGAUACAAGGUAGUAAAUAUGUGUCACUGACAUCACCUAAAAUGGGGAAAGGAUCAAAGAUAAUCAUGGUGCUCCUGGAGAGUAUGGCAGGCACAGGCCACAAGCUUAUACGUACACGUCCAAAGUUGGCUGAGAAACUAGAACAAAUUGGCUUUGACCCACAUGUUCGAAAACUUGUUCUUUAUAAGGAGAAGAAGAAAAUACGUUCAAUAUGAGGGUGAAGUCGAGCCAGAUGUCAUCAUGAUCAUGUGUGCCUGUGUUGAUUUGGGAGUCCUUCGUCCUUGUUCAUAGGAUAGUAGUUUUGUUGCAUCAAACAGCAAGAGGCAACUCAUUGACUGUUCACAGAAAGGAACAAUGGAACUCUGUUGUGAAGUUUAACUACCAUAUAUCAUGUAUUGUUCUCAGAAUAAAUAUGUAUUAUUUCA